UUACUCUUCUUCUUCUUCUUCUGCAU
rnacentral:sRNA from 1 species